AAAUUCUCAACGAUGGAUAUCUUGGUUCCCAUAACGAUGAAGAACGCAGCGAAGUGCGAUAAGCAGUGCGAAUUGCAGAACCGUGAGUCAUCAGAUUUUUGAACGCAAUUGGCGCCGGCGGGCCCAUCCUGUCGGCAUGCUUGCUUCAGUGUCUUUUUACCCCCUCACCAAAAGCUCAAU
rnacentral:rRNA from 1 species